UAACACAUGCAAGUCGAACGAUGAAGCUGGAGCUUGCUCUAGUGGAUUAGUGGCGAACGGGUGAGUAACACGUGAGCAAUCUGCCCUUGACUCUGGGAUAACUGCGGGAAACUGUAGCUAAUACCGGAUACGACACCUUGGGGCAUCCCAGGGUGUGGAAAGAAUUUCGGUCAAGGAUGAGCUCGCGGCCUAUCAGCUUGUUGGUGAGGUAAUGGCUCACCAAGGCGACGACGGGUAGCCGGCCUGAGAGGGUGACCGGCCACACUGGGACUGAGACACGGCCCAGACUCCUACGGGAGGCAGCAGUGGGGAAUAUUGCACAAUGGGCGCAAGCCUGAUGCAGCAACGCCGCGUGAGGGAUGAAGGCCUUCGGGUUGUAAACCUCUUUUAGCAGGGAAGAAGCGAAAGUGACGGUACCUGCAGAAAAAGCACCGGCUAACUACGUGCCAGCAGCCGCGGUAAUACGUAGGGUGCAAGCGUUGUCCGGAAUUAUUGGGCGUAAAGAGCUCGUAGGCGGUUUGUCGCGUCUGCUGUGAAAACCUGAGGCUCAACCUCAGACCUGCAGUGGGUACGGGCAAGCUAGAGUGCGGUAGGGGAGAUGGGAAUUCCUGGUGUAGCGGUGGAAUGCGCAGAUAUCAGGAGGAACACCGAUGGCGAAGGCAGGUCUCUGGGCCAAUACUGACACUGAGGAGCGAAAGCGUGGGGAGCGAACAGGAUUAGAUACCCUGGUAGUCCACGCCGUAAACGGUGGGCGCUAGUUGUGCGAACCUUCCACGGUUUGUGCGACGCAGCUAACGCAUUAAGCGCCCCGCCUGGGGAGUACGAUCGCAAGAUUAAAACUCAAAGGAAUUGACGG
rnacentral:rRNA from 1 species